AUUGAACGCUGGCGGCAUGCCUUACACAUGCAAGUCGAACGGUAACAGGUCUUUGGAUGCUGACGAGUGGCGAACGGGUGAGUAAUACAUCGGAACGUGCCCGAUCGUGGGGGAUAACGAAGCGAAAGCUUUGCUAAUACCGCAUAAGAUCCACGGAUGAAAGCAGGGGACCGCAAGGCCUUGCGCGGACGGAGCGGCCGAUGGCAGAUGAGGUAGUUGGUGGGAUAAAAGCUUACCAAGCCGACGAUCUGUAGCUGGUCUGAGAGGACGCCCAGCCACACUGGGACUGAGACACGGCCCAGACUCCUACGGGAGGCAGCAGUGGGGAAUUUUGGACAAUGGGCGAAAGCCUGAUCCAGCCAUGCCGCGUGCAGGAUGAAGGCCUUCGGGUUGUAAACUGCUUUUGUACGGAACGAAAAGACUCUUUCUAAUAAAGAGGGUCCAUGACGGUACCGUAAGAAUAAGCACCGGCUAACUACGUGCCAGCAGCCGCCGUAA
rnacentral:rRNA from 1 species